UUUAAAGAGAGUUUGAUCCUGGCUCAGGACGAACGCUGGCGGCGUGCCUAAUACAUGCAAGUCGAACGAACGGAGGAAGAGCUUGCUCUUCCAAAGUUAGUGGCGGACGGGUGAGUAACACGUGGGCAACCUGCCUGUAAGUUGGGGAUAACUCCGGGAAACCGGGGCUAAUACCGAAUGAUAAAGUGUGGCGCAUGCCACGCUUUUGAAAGAUGGUUUCGGCUAUCGCUUACAGAUGGGCCCGCGGUGCAUUAGCUAGUUGGUAGGGUAAUGGCCUACCAAGGCAACGAUGCAUAGCCGACCUGAGARGGUGAUCGGCCACACUGGGACUGAGA
rnacentral:rRNA from 1 species